UACGUAGGGUGCGAGCGUUGUCCGGAAUUAUUGGGCGUAAAGAGCUCGUAGGCGGUUUGUUGCGUCGGCUGUGAAAUCCCGAGGCUCAACCUCGGGUCUGCAGUCGAUACGAGCAAACUAGAGUGUUGCAGGGGAGACUGGAAUUCCUGGUGUAGCGGUGAAAUGCGCAGAUAUCAGGAGGAACACCGGUGGCGAAGGCGGGUCUCUGGGCAACAACUGACGCUGAGGAGCGAAAGCGUGGGAGCGAACAGG
rnacentral:rRNA from 1 species